GUUCUAUGGCUCGCGCUGCGGGUUGCUGAGGCUUGAACUGGAGGCGCACGCGGUAACACUUCCACCAGUUUGAAUACAGGGCUCGCUGUGUCUCAUCUGCUCCAGAAACCGAGGACUUACUUCAGAAAGUUGUGAUUGUGGGGUUUUUGUUUUUACUCAAGAGGAGGCUGAACAACUGAUAGUUUCCCAAGAAUGCGUCUGACUGCCUUUUCUGCGUGCGUCCUCAUCAUGUCCCUGCUGGACCAAGUGAGUGGACUCACAACCAUAGUGGGCAAAUAUGGUGAAACUGUUGAAGUGCCUUGCAACAAAGGAGACAUCAAAGUAGAGGACAUCAUGAUAGCUAAAUGGAAAUAUACCAAAGCGGACGGCACCAUCGUUGAUAUUCUGACAAAAUCAAAAUCUCAGGAUGCCUCGUUCUACCCAAUUGUGGAGUACGAAGGCAGACUCAACCUAACAAAGGACCUCAGCCUGCAAAUUUCCCAGGCAAAAAUGGCCGAUCAGAAGACUUUGACCUGUCUAGUGGUGGCAGGCACAGAAAUAUUUGAGUAUCCAGUUCAAGUGACAAUUCAGAAGGCCCCUUCGCCACCCGCAAUCACAAAUCAAUCCAAAGUGAUAGAGCUCGGCAAGCUAACAACGCUGGCAGUAUGUACUGCUAAAGAUGCCAGUCCAUUAGCUAUCGUCACCUGGCUGAAGGACAAUGUUCCGCUCGUAGCUGAUGGGAAAGUGGUCAACAUCACACUAAAUGUGCAGACAGACAAAAACACCGGCCUCUCGAAUACAUCUUCCAAGCUGGAGUAUGCCGCUACGAAGGCAGAUAUGAACGCUAAGUUCACUUGUUCCGUCCAUCAUAAGAGCCUUGCCUCGGACCUCGUGUCUGCUCCGAUGACCUUCGUCAUCCACUACCCCAGUGAAAAGGUCAGCCUCCAGGUCAUGUCUGCAGACCCGAUAAAGGAGGGAGACAAUGUGACCCUGAAAUGUGCGGCCGAUGGGAACCCCCCACCGACUAGCUACAACUUUCAUAUCAAGGAGAAGAAGGUGACCACGGAGAACUCGGACACGUACACACUCCAUAACGUCACCCGGGCCGACAGUGGAGAAUAUAAGUGCUCCCUGGUGGACAACGAAGGAAAGACAGGCUCUACUAGUUUUACCGUUAUGUACCUGCAUAUCGCCGCCGUCAGCCAAGGAAAGAUUGCUAAAAAUUUAUCCGAGAGCUUUGAGGCAACGUUAGAGGUGAACGCCUCUGGAAAUCCACAAGUCUUGUGGACAAAGAACAACGUCAGACUGAAUGGUAAGCCCAAGUUUGACAAGCUGAAGUACUCAGACUCCGGAGUGUACGAGUGUGUGGUUUCUGUGGGUGGACUUGUCAAAAAAGCAUCAUUUGAGCUGAGCGUCCAAGGUGCUCCAGUUAUCACUAUGCUGACUAAGUGUGGCAGUAAUGGACACAAGAUUCUGAGCUGCAAGGCUGAAGGAUCACCCAAACCCACUGUGCAGUGGAGCAUUAACGGCACUAAUGCCACCGAGAGUUCCUUCGUGGAUGGAACGGUCACAUACAAUCUCACAGUGACUGCAGCAGGCAAUCUCACAAUUAACUGCACCGUUUCUAAUGGGCUGGGCUACUACACAAAGAGCAUUGACAUAUCCACAUUGUUGGAUGACAUAACAAUGUUCAAAAGGGAGCAGCGGGAAGGCUCUGAAGAUCAGACGCAAGUAGUAGUGGGGAUCGUCAUAGGCGUAAUCGUGGUUGCUGUUGCUAUCGGUCUGGCCUACUGGAUCUACUUGAAGAGAACCAGGGAAGGCACCUGGAAAACUGGAGAGAAAGAGAAUGGCACACUGGAGGAAAGCAAAAAACUGGAGGAAACUCAGAGUCAAAAAGCUGAGGUGUAAAAAGCAAAGAAUACUUCCGGCAUAAGAAGGUGAAUGCUUCAUCCAGGCAUGAUUGCCCUUGAGGAGUCAUUGUGUAAAUAACUUCUUUGUUUUUUAGGAGAGGAGGCAGUAUUUUAUCAGACUGUAUUGCAAACUACGGAAACGUUUGGGAAGCCGAUAGGCGGUCAUCUAUUUGGAUGAUGAACCGUUAUCUGAUGUAUGCAUAAUGUAUAUCACCAUCCUCCUUACAAGUGGAAGAUUUAAUAAAUGAUGUGUGUUGUAUAAUUGUGAAUCUCCUGCACGUUGCUGUUUAAUAUUUGGUGGGUUUGACAGAAUAUUUGCCUUUUUUUGCUGUUGUUUAUUGUUUAUUAAACACCGAUUUCAUUAGUUCAAUUUACCUCAACGCUAGCCUGUAAACUGUGACUUCAUUUGUGUUUUGGAGUAAGAAGUGCGUCAUGCCGUUGGUUAUAAGUUGUUGGGUUGUUGUUUUUUUCACAUCUCUGCUCCACUUUUAGUACCUGAGGUAUGACUACAGUAACAGUUUUCUUUUGCAGUUCAUUGAGCACUUGGUUAUUUUCAUCAAGAUGUGAUAGUGAUCCUGAAAUAAACCAUUUUGAAAGUUAAAAUAAGCUUGCAUGUGCAUUUCCAAUGGCCAAACGUCCUUGGCAUGAGAAUCAAAAGCUCCAUUAAAACGUUAAACAAUAUGCUAAACGCUAUGUUUAAAAUCUAAAUUUCUAUGGUUUGGCAAAAUUAUGAUGGAUUAAAUCAUUAAAAUGCUAAUAAGGACAAAUGUAAAUGCUGAAUUCUCCAUUUUUGGAGUUUGUCAUUGACUGCAAAUAUUAUAUUAACCAUAUCUACAAUACUGAUAUGUUGCUUGUAGUACAGUUGUUUAAUUUUAAAUAUAAUACUGUUUUACUUGAAUUCAGCCCCUAUUUUCUGAUAGAUUUACAUACUCUGAUUUAGAUUAACAUAUAUUAUUCAUUUUAUUUGUGUGACCGGAUUUCACUUAUCAGUGUGCAACAGUGUGUUUUACCUUGACAUAUAAGCCUACUACCCUGAUAUCACUCUGAUAGUGUAUGACUAUAGAAAAAAAAGGUCUCUAAAAAUAGCCACUGCAAAAUACUUUCUAAUCCUACUAGUAAUUUACGUAUAGUCUUUAGGGCUUUAAGCUGCAGCUGUGAGACUUCAUCCAUUUAAUUUGAUAUAUGAGCAUAGAAUGUUAAUUACUUGAUAUGUUUAGGUAGUUAAUGGGAAUACAUCAGGUUUGCUAAACUCUGGAAACUCAUCAGAGUACUGACAGGUGAAUUACAGUCUAAUUCUGUGUUUUCAGUGCGUUCUUUCACAACUUGUUUAAAACAAACUAGUAGAGAUACAUUCGAGUCAUAGUUCUUUUUUUAUGUGUUUUGUAAUGUUCAGCAGAUGUCAAAUGGUAACAUAUGAUUUUCUAUUUUCUAUUCUUCUGCUAUGUAUAUUGUAUAUGCUUUGUGUGCCUGAUUCUGCUACGUUUCCCCCUUUGUUUUGUUUUUUGUUGUUUUUUUGCAUUUAAGUCUUGGUUGAGACCAAAGACUUGUUUAAGUAUUGUAAAUAUUUUUUUUUUUGCCAUUUGUUUAAAUAAAGUGUACAUUUUAGAAAUAAAACACAGAUGGCAUUUGCUUUUACUGAAA